AUUGAACGCUGGCGGCAGGCCUAACACAUGCAAGUCGAACGAGGGGCGGACGGGUGAGUAAUGGCUGGGAAACUGCCCGAUGGAGGGGGAUAACUACUGGAAACGGUAGCUAAUACCGCAUACCAUCGGAUGUGCCCAGAUGGGAUUAGCUAGGAGUUGGGGUAACGGCUCACCUAGGCGACGAUCCCUAGCUGGUCUGAGAGGAUGACCAGCCACACUGGAACUGAGACACGGUCCCGACUCCUACGGGAGGCAGGAGUGGGGAAUAUUGCGCAAUGGGCGCAAUCCUGAUGCAGCCAGGCCGCGUGUAUGAAGAAGGCCUUCGGGUUGUAAAGUACUUUCAGCGAGGAGGCGUUACUCGCAGAAGAAGCACCGGCUAACUCCGGGCCAGCAGCCGCGGUAAUUC
rnacentral:rRNA from 1 species